UGUGACUAUCGAUGGUAUCUUGCGUUUCGGGGCAAGCUUGACACAACUAGUAAACUUCCCUUGUGAAAAUGACCUACUACCUUUUCCCGCAUGCCAAAAUGUUAUUCCAAACACGCGUUGAGAAAGAUAGAAAGAUGGGAUAUACACUCCGAUUAUACAGUAAAAGCUCUCUAAAAAGACAUGAUCAUUCAGGAAAAAUUCUAUCUACAACCUUCUGAACAGUUUAUGUUGGAUCUACAAUGUAUGUCGUACAUUGAUGUUAGGACAAUUUAGUUUUUAAGGAUCAUACACGUUCCUAGGAUUAUAAACUCGAUGAUACAACUAUCUAACUCGCAUGAAAAGGCAAUCUGAACAGUUUUCCGUCUAGAAAUUACAAUACUUACACUUGACAAUGACUUUUGCAUCUCUUUCUCUUCAAUCCAUCCUCCCCUGGAUUAAAAAAAAAAAAAAAAACGAAGUGUGGAAUAUAAGAAAUCAUUAGUUUCUAAAUCAGACAGGGAUUUUUCAACCUCUGCAGCUUUUGUUAUAUUAGGUACCCUCAUGAAAUUUUGAUUAACCUGUAAUACAAUAUGAUUAAAGUGACUUGUCCAAGAUUUCCGGUACAAGUGGCCGACGGUUUGGCUAAUAGGGGUGUUAAUCACCGGUUCAUUGGCAUACAGUGACAGAGUUCAGACACUCCCAAUCUUUUCUUGUCCAAUCCUUCCAGUUAGUUGUAUUGAUGAAGAGGUAGCAUCUUCAAAACCAUCAUUUAGGUUUUUGGUCGCGUCCUUAGUGAUGGGAGCUGAAGAAAACUAGUAGUAGUGCUGAAAGCAAAGGGGUAGCUAGUGUAGACGAUGAAAUUGGAUUUGAAUUAGUAGAGCUGGGUAGGGAUGGAUAUAUAUCAGGAAGGGGCAUCUUGCAUUCAUUACCAUUGAAGUAAAUCAUCAAUGGAAAUGCCCAACCUUGCUUCAACGUGAAUUCCUUCGUGUUCUUUUGGAGAAUAAGCUCUGAUUCAACAUGUCCACCGGUUCCAGCUUCCAUUAGUAGGUCGUUAAGAUUUUUUAUGCCGUAAAACAUGCCAGUGUCGUCUGUACAUAAUCAAAGUGUAACAGAUUGAGAAAAAUGAAUAGUACUAAUGUACAAAUAUUGUAGUUC